rnacentral:snRNA from 1 species
UUACCUUUCUCGGCCUUUUGGCUAAGAUCCAGUGUAGUAUCUGUUUGCCUUCAAGUUUCGCCUUGGUUUUGCACUAUUGCCUCGGCCUGGCACACCCCAC